rnacentral:rRNA from 1 species
UCAGAACGAACGCUGGCGGCGUGCUUAACGCAUGCAAGUCGAACGCGAAAGGGACUUCGGUCCUGAGUAAAGUGGCGCACGGGUGAGUAACGCGUAGAUAACCUGUCUUCAUGUCUGGAAUAAUACGCCGAAAGGGGUACUAAUACCGGAUAUUCUUGCUUUUCAUAAGUUAUGCAAGCAAAGGUGGCCUCUGCAUAUGCUACUGCAUGAAGAGGGGUCUGCGUACCAUUAGCUAGUAGGUGGGGUAAUGGCCUACCUAGGCGACGAUGGUUAGCGGGUCUGAGAGGAUGAUCCGCCACACUGGCACUGGAACACGGGCCAGACUCCUACGGGAGGCAGCAGUGAGGAAUAUUGCGCAAUGGGGGAAACCCUGACGCAGCGACGCCGCGUGAGUGAGGAAGGCCUUCGGGUCGUAAAGCUCUGUCAAGAGGAAAGAAGUGUACAAUGGCUAAUACCUGUUGUAUUUGACGGUACCUCUAAAGGAAGCACCGGCUAACUCCGUGCCAGCCGCGGC